rnacentral:rRNA from 1 species
GACGAACGCUGGCGGCGUGCUUAACACAUGCAAGUCGAACGGUAAGGCCCUUUCGGGGGUACACGAGUGGCGAACGGGUGAGUAACACGUGGGUGAUCUGCCCUGCACUUUGGGAUAAGCCUGGGAAACUGGGUCUAAUACCGGAUAGGACUACGCGAUGCAUGUCGUGUGGUGGAAAGCUUUUGCGGUGUGGGAUGGGCCCGCGGCCUAUCAGCUUGUUGGUGGGGUGAUGGCCUACCAAGGCGACGACGGGUAGCCGGCCUGAGAGGGUGUCCGGCCACACUGGGACUGAGAUACGGCCCAGACUCCUACGGGAGGCAGCAGUGGGGAAUAUUGCACAAUGGGCGCAAGCCUGAUGCAGCGACGCCGCGUGGGGGAUGACGGCCUUCGGGUUGUAAACCCCUUUCAGCACAGACGAAGCGUAAGUGACGGUAUGUGCAGAAGAAGCACCGGCCAACUACGUA